CAUCAUCACCAUCAGGUGGUUUUCUAGGGUUCCUUCAUCCGCGAUGCAUCAUCACUAUCAGGUUCUCAAUCCGCUUAUUCUGACGGCACUGGAACCGCAAAUACUACUGUACCUAUUGCCAAUGCAGUUGCUCCAUCCAAUGAGGUUUUCAACAAAAUGUCAUUGAUGCGGAAAUAGCGGUUGGGCAGCAUGCCGGUAAAAGAGUUUUCUUACCAAGAAUACCCCUAUGUCCUUCUGAAAAUGAUAUGUACCCCUUUAAGUUGAAGAGAAAACAGUUCCCGAUUUGACUUAGCUUCGCGAUGACAAUAAACAGAGCCCAAGGCCAGACAGUUCCACACGUUGGUGUCUAUCUACCUGAAUCGGUAUUUUCACACGGACAACUAUACGUGGCUUUGUCUCGAGGGAUAUCACGCGAAAGGGUAAAGGUUUUGGUUAGGCCUACCCAAAAUUUCCAUCAACCCGGUGUAUACACCGCAA